GAUGAACGCUGGCGGCGUGCCUAAUACAUGCAAGUCGAGCGAACGGACGAGAAGCUUGCUUCUCUGAUGUUAGCGGCGGACGGGUGAGUAACACGUGGAUAACCUACCUAUAAGACUGGGAUAACUUCGGGAAACCGGAGCUAAUACCGGAUGAUAUUUUGAACCGCAUGGUUCAAAAGUGAAAGACGGUCUUGCUGUCACUUAUAGAUGGAUCCGCGCUGCAUUAGCUAGUUGGUAAGGUAACGGCUUACCAAGGCAACGAUGCAUAGCCGACCUGAGAGGGUGAUCGGCCACACUGGAACUGAGACACGGUCCAGACUCCUACGGGAGGCAGCAGUAGGGAAUCUUCCGCAAUGGGCGAAAGCCUGACGGAGCAACGCCGCGUGAGUGAUGAAGGUCUUCGGAUCGUAAAACUCUGUUAUUAGGGAAGAACAUAUGUGUAAGUAACUGUGCACAUCUUGACGGUACCUAAUCAGAAAGCCACGGCUAACUACGUGCCAGCAGCCGCGGUAAUACGUAGGUGGCAAGCGUUAUCCGGAAUUAUUGGGCGUAAAGCGCGCGUAGGCGGUUUUUUAAGUCUGAUGUGAAAGCCCACGGCUCAACCGUGGAGGGUCAUUGGAAACUGGAAAACUUGAGUGCAGAAGAGGAAAGUGGAAUUCCAUGUGUAGCGGUGAAAUGCGCAGAGAUAUGGAGGAACACCAGUGGCGAAGGCGACUUUCUGGUCUGUAACUGACGCUGAUGUGCGAAAGCGUGGGGAUCAAACAGGAUUAGAUACCCUGGUAGUCCACGCCGUAAACGAUGAGUGCUAAGUGUUAGGGGGUUUCCGCCCCUUAGUGCUGCAGCUAACGCAUUAAGCACUCCGCCUGGGGAGUACAACCGCAAGGUUGAAACUCAAAGGAAUUGACGGGGACCCGCACAAGCGGUGGAGCAUGUGGUUUAAUUCGAAGCAACGCGAAGAACCUUACCAAAUCUUGACAUCCUUUGACAACUCUAGAGAUAGAGCCUUCCCCUUCGGGGGACAAAGUGACAGGUGGUGCAUGGUUGUCGUCAGCUCGUGUCGUGAGAUGUUGGGUUAAGUCCCGCAACGAGCGCAACCCUUAAGCUUAGUUGCCAUCAUUAAGUUGGGCACUCUAAGUUGACUGCCGGUGACAAACCGGAGGAAGGUGGGGAUGACGUCAAAUCAUCAUGCCCCUUAUGAUUUGGGCUACACACGUGCUACAAUGGACAAUACAAAGGGCAGCGAAACCGCGAGGUCAAGCAAAUCCCAUAAAGUUGUUCUCAGUUCGGAUUGUAGUCUGCAACUCGACUACAUGAAGCUGGAAUCGCUAGUAAUCGUAGAUCAGCAUGCUACGGUGAAUACGUUCCCGGGUCU
rnacentral:rRNA from 1 species